rnacentral:tRNA from 1 species
UGGAACGUAGCUCAGUGGGAGGUAGAGCAGCUGGUUUAUAUUCAGUAUGUCGAUGGUUCGAACCCAUCCGUUCCAA